rnacentral:rRNA from 1 species
AACGAACGCUGGCGGCAUGCCUAACACAUGCAAGUCGAACGAGACCUCCGGGACCAGUGGCGCAUGGGUGCGUAACGCGUGGGAACCUGCACUUAGGUUCGGAAUAACUCCCCGAAAGGGGUGCUAAUACCGGAUAAUGUCUUCGGCCCAAAGAUUUAUCGCAUUUGGAUGGGCACGCGUUGGAUUAGCUAGUUGGUAGGGUAAAAGCCUACCAAGGCGACGAUCCAUAGCUGGUCUGAGAGGAUGAUCAGCCACACUGGGACUGAGACACGGCCCAGACUCCUACGGGAGGCAGCAGUGGGGAAUAUUGGACAAUGGGCGAAAGCCUGAUCCAGCAAUGCCGCGUGAGUGAUGAAGGCCUUAGGGUUGUAAAGCUCUUUUACCCGGGAUGAUAAUGACAGUACCGGGAGAAUAAGCUCCGGCUAACUCCGUG